CAUAUCAACUUUCUAUGCCAUUGACUGCGACUACCAUGGUGACCACGGGUAAAGGGGGAUUAGGGUUUGAUUCCG